rnacentral:rRNA from 1 species
GACGAACGCUGGCGGCGUGCUUAACACAUGCAAGUCGAGCGGUAAGGCCCUUCGGGUACACGAGCGGCGAACGGGUGAGUAACACGUGGGUGACCUGCCCUUAGCUCUGGGAUAAGCCUGGGAAACUGGGUCUAAUACCGGAUAUGACCUCAUGACGCAUGUUGUGGGGUGGAAAGCCUUGUGCGGCUAGGGAUGGGCCCGCGGCCUAUCAGCUUGUUGGUGGGGUGAUGGCCACCAAGGCGACGACGGGUAGCCGGCCUGAGAGGGCGACCGGCCACACUGGGACUGAGACACGGCCCAGACUCCUACGGGAGGCAGCAGUGGGGAAUCUUGCGCAAUGGGCGAAAGCCUGACGCAGCGACGCCGCGUGAGGGAUGACGGCCUCGG